rfam:Schizosaccharomyces japonicus yFS275 unplaced genomic scaffold supercont5.3, whole genome shotgun sequence.
GGUCGCUUGGUCUAGUGGUAUGAUUCCAUCUUCGGGUGAUGGAGGACGCGGGUUCGAUUCUCGCAGCAGCCC